UACAGGGGGGGCAAGCGUUGUUCGGAAUUACUGGGCGUAAAGGGCUCGUAGGUGGCCAACUAAGUCGGACGUGAAAUCCCUCAGCUUAACUGGGGAACUGCGUCCGAUACUGGAUGGCUUGAGUUUGGGAGAGGGAUGCGGAAUUCCAGGUGUAGCGGUGAAAUGCGUAGAUAUCUGGAGGAACACCGGUGGCGAAGGCGGCAUCCUGGACCAACACUGACACUGAGGAGCGAAAGCAUGGGGAGCGAACAGG
rnacentral:rRNA from 1 species